rnacentral:tRNA from 1 species
GUCCAAGUGGUGAAAUUGGUAGACACGUAUCGUUUAGGCCGAUAUGCCGCAAGGCGUGCAGGUUCGAGUCCUGUCUUGGACA